rnacentral:lncRNA from 1 species
CUUACCGAUUGGAUUUAUCCGAAGAGUUAUCAGAUUUCCAUGACGUGUUUCAUGUUUCAGUUUUGAGGAAAGUCGUGAGAGAACCAGAGCUCAUUUUGCAGCAGCCGCCCAGUGACCUUGGUAGGAAUUUGCGUGCGCCGUGUCAGCCAGUAGAGCUAUUGGAUCGCCAAGUGAGAGCAGAUGAUGGUAUGAUGACUAUGUUGGUCAAAGUUCGUUGGGAGAGAGAUGGUAUUCAGGAGGAGACUUGGGAGUCCGAGCCCCAGAUGAGGAUUGAUUAUCCGGAGCUUUUCCGGGACAUUGGGCAUGUCAGCUUAUAAAUUGAAUUCGGGGACGAAUUCCUUGUAAGUGGGGGAGAAUUGUAAUGACCCCAAACUAUCCCCAAAGGCAUUUUUGUUGUCUGUUUUUUUCGUAAAAGCAAAGAGAGAGAGAGAGAGAGAGAGAGAGAGAGAGAGAGAGAGAGAGAGAGAGAGAGAGAGAGAGAGAGAGAGAGAGAGAGAGAGAGAGAGAGAGAGAGAGAGAGAGAGAGAGUGAGAGAGAGAGAGAGAGAGAGAGAGAAAGCUCACCAGGAGUCCUCGCCGGAGCCACCGCACGCCAGGACGUCGUCAAGCUCGUCAUCACCAUCAACCGCAGCUCGAGGUAACCGGAAACCGCCAUGUGUUUGAGUUAUGUUUCGGUCGUUUUAGUAAAUCGGUAAUAACUUUCUAACCGUAGUGAAUCUCGUGCAUCCAAGGCCAUCAUCGUGUUCCUCUCGUCAAGACGAAGCCGUAGACACCAACCGAGUCACGAUCGGAGCCCGGACGAAGCCGUACGCGCUUCCGGAAGUUUCACCUCCGCGCGCGCGUGAGUUCCACGCGCCGCCGCCGGACCACCGUCCUCCGCCGCAGCGCCGCCGCCGGACCACCGUUCUCCGCCGCAGCUCCGCCGUCGCCGCCGGCCAACUUACCGGUAAGCCGCCGCCGUAGCUCCGCCGUCGCCGCCGAUGACCGACACCGGUGACUCGCCGGCGACUCGCCAACUCGGCCGAGUCGACCCGGUGAGUCAACUCGGUUGACUCGGUUAACCGGUGGUUUGACCGGUUUAAAUCGAUUUCGAUUCGGUUAGGUUAAACCGGUCGGUUAAAAUCAAUUGGUAAUCGGUUAGGAAAAAUCGGAUUAAUUAAUUAAUUAAUCAAUUAAUUAAUUAAUUAAAUAAUUGAUCUUUGACCAGCGGGUUGACUUUUCCGUAAAUACCCGUUUUAAACCGUUCGAAAGGCGUUCUGACUCGAAAUUUCGAUCUGAUUUCAGAUUUGGAGUCCAUUUGAGCAGCUGGAGUUCAUAUAUACCACUUCUCUUCAUUGCUAAGGUGAGGGCUACUCCGUUAAAUCCCGAGCUAGUUUAGUACUACCGUUAUGGAAAGUUUAGUUUCGAAACAUGAUCCGUCUCUGUGAAUCGAGUCUGUUUGAGAGUCUUGCUUUUUUAUUAUUAUUUAUUGAUUGUUAAACCGGAAAUAGGAUAAUAGAGGAUUCAACGGUUGAUUGAAAUGAUUGAUGUUAAGAAUUGUUAUAUAUAUGUAUAUAUAUACGAGUCCAUGUUUUGGAGAUUUGCGGGGUGCAGAGACGUUUGCACUGGCUGCCUAUGUUUGAGGAGUUUUGCGGGGUGCAGAGACGUUUGCACUGGCUGCCAUGUUUGUGGAGAUUUGCGGGGGUACAGAGACGUUUGUACUUACGACGCCUUAGAGAUUUGCGGGGUGCAGUGUGGACUACUGUGCUAGCGACGCCUGUAAAGUAUAUAUAUCCUUAUGAGGAAAUGUGAUAUGCUAUUAUCGCAUUGGUUGUAUCAUGUCUAGUCCACUAGACAUAUGUGAUUGUUCUGUGUGGUGUAAUAGGCACCGUGAUUGUCUCAUGCUAGAGCUAUGCCUACAUAGUUGUAGUGCUAUGAACUGAGUCAGUGGUUUGCGGUUUAGCAUCCCAUACCUCACUGGGCGAUUCCCCUGUCGCUCACCCCUCCUUAUUUCCCCCUUUCAGGUGAGACCGACGAGCAGGAGUGAUUAUCGGACUGGUGCUAUUGGGCUUUUGGGCUUCUAUCGUUUUAUCGCUUUUAUCGUUAUCGGGCCUCCAGGCCUUUGGACUUUUAUCGCCUACGUUAUUCCUAUUUCAGACUUUUGGUUUAUAUUGUAUUUUAUAUUUCGGAUGUUAUCGAUGUUGGGCUUUUAGGCCUUUUGUUACCGUAUCGACUAUUAUAUUAUAUGAAGAUUAUUUUAUUUUCGCUUUUAUCAAUUUAUUUUAUUUUGAAAGUGGCGGGUGUCACAGAUUUUCAAGAAAAUUAUUCUUGACAAAUGAUUGAUAGCGAGCAAUGUUGGAAACAUGGUCAAACCCGCUCCACAACAGAUUAAAUCAUUUUUGAUUCAAAAAUCCGAUCUGCAUAUCACGUAAAGCAAAAAUAGUUGAUCUAUUUAUUCGGUUUAAACGGUUUUAGACGAUUUCAAAAUAUUUUGGGGAUUUGGGAGUUUUGAAAAUGAAAAUAAAUCGCACCUUUCCGUUCGGUAUCACUACUUCUUAAAUGUUGGUAUCCAGAGAUCGGCAUAAGUUAACUUUUUCGCUUUUCCUUCAGAUGGCGCCCAGGAAGAGAGUUGUUCGUACUCAGACUCCCAGAGUUGCUAGAGAGGUUGAAGAUGAGCAUGUCCAGCCCGCAGUUCAGCAGCAGGCGGCUCCGCCUCUUGAUCAGGAUGCUUUGAGACAGAUGGUUCAGGAUGUGGCUAGGCAGGCUGCACAGGAGACAGUCCAGCAAGCUGCCCAGGAGGCUGCCCGAAUAGCUGCUCAGGAGGUUGCCAGACAGAUGGCUGCAGUACAGCAGGGUCCGCAGAUUCGCAUGCAGCAGGCUCCACCAGUUCAGGUUCAGCAUUAUCAUCAGGUUCCACAUCAGCCGGCUCCAGUCCAGCAGUACCCUCAGGUUCCUGUUCAGCCGGUUCCAGGAGUUUUUCAGGUUCCACCGCCGCCACCUGCUUUCCCAGUUCAGGUGCCCGAGGUUGAUGAGACAUUUAUCAGGGUGUUGGGACAGAUGAAGUAUGUGAGUUUGGAGCAUUUCACUGGAACAACGGAACCUACAGUUGCUCACGAUUGGAAGCAUAAUUUGGAUAAGUGUUUGAAGACCAUCUCGUGCCCACCAAGACUCAAGCUAAACAUCGCUGAGUUGUAUUUGCGCGGAGAUGCAUCAAUCUGGUGGGAUGGAGUGAGAUUGAUGCACCGUGGCGAGCUGACAUAUGAUGAUUUUCUUUACGCGUUCAACAAGAAGUAUUUUCCGAGGGAAGCUUUGCAUGAGAAGAAGAAUGAUUUCGAGCAUUUGAGGCAGGGUGCAAAGUCUGUCAGGGAGUAUGAGCGGGAGUUUAACCAGCUCCGCAGAUUUGUGGGUAACAACAUAGAUGAAGAGGAUUUGAUCAGGAGGUUCUUAGAUGGGAUGCGAGUAGAGCUUCGUGGUAGGUGCAGUGUGGUUACCUACACCAGUUUGGAGGAUCUGGUAGAGAAGGCGGCUGUGCAGGAGAAAUGUAUGGGUGAGGAGCAGAAGUUCUCCAAAGCAGUUCAGCCUAAGGCAGGAGGGGCUUCGGGGUCGCAGAAGAGGCCUUGGGAGCAGACUGGAGCACCCCGUUGUGGGCGUUGUCGUCGCCACCAUUUUGGGGAAUGUUUCCAGUGCUAUAAUUGCGAUCAGUUUGGGCAUCUUGCGAAGAACUGUAGGAAGCCACCACGAACUCAGGUUGCAACACCAGCAGCAGCAGUAGCACCAGCAGUGGCAGCGAGGAACUGUUACGGCUGCAACCAGCCGGGUCACAUCUACAGAGAUUGUCCGAGGAGAGGCAAUGCAGCGCUUCCACCACCACCGAAGCGUCCAGCCAUCGCUCCACGGGUCUUUGCAAUUGGAGAUCCCCAGGGAGCUGAGCCGAUAGCGGGUAUGUGACUUUUUCAUAAUUGUUGUGUUUGAGUAAUUUGGUUUGUGGAUGCCAUGUGUAGUUAGCAAAAUCUUGUGUAGGAUCGGUUUCGGUUGGAGGAAAGUCAGCUCACACCUUAUUCGACACGGGAGCCUCUCAUAGUUUUGUGAGUCCGCGCUUAGUCCAGUCUUGGUCUUUUCGGGGAGUCUUUGAACCGAAGACUAAGCAGAUCCAGACUGUCGGCACGGAGAAGUUGGGUGCAGUUGGCAUUUAUCACGAUGUACCAGUUCUACUUGGAGGAGUCGAGUUGCUCGGAGAUUUGACGGAGAUAGAGAUGAGCUCCUACGAUGUUAUACUUGGGAUGGAUUGGCUGUCGCGACAUCGAGUAAUCUUGGAUUGUCCGAAGGCAAGAGUUAAUAUCCCUAGAGAAGAAGGAAAGAUCAUUUGCGAGGGAAUUCAGACACACCGGGAAAUUCUUAUCGUAUCCAUGUUGCGUGCAGAAGAAUUAUUGGAAAGUGGAGCAGAGGGAUUUUUGGCAACAAUUUCGAUGGCUAAGGAGGAUGGUCAGCAGAAGCUGCAUGAUAUAUCAGUGGUCGCCGAGUACGAGGAUGUUUUUGAGCCUUUAAAAGGGCCACCACCAGCUAGAGCGGACGUUCUUACAAUAGAAGUAGAGCCAGGAGCAGCACCAAUUUCACGAGCUCCAUACCGUCUCGCACCAACUGAGAUGGCAGAGUUAAAGAAACAAUUGGAGGAGCUAUCUGAUAAGGGGUUUAUCAGGCCAAGCACGUCACCGUGGGGAGCACCAGUAUUGUUUGUGAAGAAGAAAGAUGGGAGUUUCAGACUUUGUAUAGAUUACAGAGGUUUGAACAAAGUGACCAUCAAGAAUAAGUACCCGCUCCCGCGUAUCGACGAGUUGUUGGACCAGUUGCAGGGAGCUUCAUGGUUCUCUAAGAUUGACUUGGCAUCGGGAUACCACCAGAUUGCAAUAGCUGAGGGAGAUGUGCGGAAGACGGCAUUCCGUACCCGUUAUGGACAUUACGAGUUUGUGGUGAUGCCAUUUGGGUUGACGAACGCACCAGCCGCGUUCAUGAAGCUUAUGAAUGAUGUAUUUCGUGAGCACUUGGAUAAGUGUGUGAUCGUUUUCAUAGAUGACAUCUUGGUUUACUCUCGGAGUAGAGGAGAGCAUGCUGAACAUUUGCGGAUUGUGUUGGGUAAGCUUCGGGAACAUCAGUUAUUUGCCAAGCUGAGCAAGUGUAGCUUUUGGCAGAAGAAGAUUGGAUUUUUGGGUCACGUGGUUUCAGAAGCGGGAGUUGCCGUAGAUCAGGAGAAGAUUAGCGCCAUUUCAGAGUGGCCGACACCUAAGAAUGCGACGGAGAUCCGCAGUUUUCUCGGUUUGGCAGGAUACUACAGAAAGUAUGUCAACAAUUUUGCUAGCAUUGCAAAGCCAAUGACACGACUAACAGGAAAAGACACCGAGUUUGAUUGGACAGAGGAAUGUUCGGGGAGUUUCACUGAGUUGAAGCGACAACUGACCCAUGCGCCAGUUUUGGUACUCCCGAGGCCAGGGAUACCAUAUGAUGUUUACACAGAUGCGUCAGGCACCGGAUUGGGAUGUGUACUGAUGCAGGAAGGUCAGGUCAUUGCCUAUGCAUCACGACAGUUGAGGCCUCACGAGGCCAAUUAUCCUACUCAUGAUUUGGAGUUGGCAGCAGUUGUAUUUGCAUUAAAAAUCUGGAGGUCAUACUUGUAUGGAGAGAAGGUGAAGAUUUUCACGGACCACCAGAGUCUGAAGUACAUAUUUACGCAAACGGACUUGAAUUUGAGGCAGCGUAGAUGGAUGGAGUUGUUAGCAGACUACAAUUUGGAGAUCACAUAUCACCCGGGAAAAGCCAAUCAUGUGGCGGAUGCCUUGAGUAGGCGCAGAAGCGAUAUAUCGGGAACCAAAGAGGUCCAGGAGCUUACUGGGACACUUGCUAGUCUAAGAUUAUGUGCAGUUACUGUAGAGGGAGAGGCAGUUGGCCUCGAGGCUGUGGAGCAAGCAGAUUUGUUAUGGAAAGUGCGUAAGGCUCAGGAUGCAGAUAAGGCUUUGUGUAAGCAGAUCGAGAUUGAGAGUAUUGGAUAUCAUACAGCUUCGAGUGGGAUGUUCAUGUAUCGGAACCGGGUUUGUGUGCCUAAUGAUGAGUUGUUAAGAAAGGAGAUCUUACGGCAAGCACACAACUCGAGUUUCUCUAUUCAUCCAGGAAAUACCAAGAUGUACAGAGAUCUGAAGCGCUAUUAUCAUUGGCCUGGCAUAAAGAGGGAUGUUGCUUCAUUUAUAUCGCAGUGUCAGACGUGUCAGAUGGUCAAGGCCGAGCAUCAGGUGCCUAGCGGGUUAUUGCAGAACCUGCCAUUGCCAGAGUGGAAAUGGGACAUGGUAACUAUGGAUUUUGUGACGGGGUUGCCAACCACCUUAGGAGGAAAGAAUGCCAUCUGGGUAAUCGUGGAUAGACUUACCAAGUCAGCCCAUUUUCUAGCUAUUAAGAAGACGGACAGAGCUGAUCAGUUAGCACAGAGUUACAUCAACGAGAUUGUGAGAUUGCAUGGAGUUCCUGUCAGCAUUGUAUCAGAUCGAGAUACAAAGUUUACGUCUGACUUUUGGAGAGCCUUCCAGAAGGCGCUUGGGACGAAAGUGCAUAUGAGUACGGCGUAUCACCCGCAGACAGACGGUCAGUCAGAGAGGACGAUUCAGACUUUGGAGGAUAUGCUUAGAGCUUGUGUUUUGGAUUGGGAAGGGAGUUGGGCAAAGUACCUACCCCUAGCGGAGUUUGCCUACAAUAAUAGUUAUCACUCGAGCAUUAAGAUGGCGCCAUAUGAGGCCCUUUAUGGUAGGCCUUGUCGCACACCGCUUUGUUGGACCGAAGUGGGGGAGCGACGUGAGAUAGAACCUGCAAUGGUUCAAGAGACAGUUGAGCAGGUUGAGAUGCUUAAGGUACGGCUUAGGGAAGCCCAUGACCGUCAGAAGAGUUAUGCAGAUAAGCGGCGUAAAGAUUUGGAGUUCCAGGUUGGCGACCUGGUAUACCUGAAAAUGAGGACAUUUCAGGGAGGAUCUAAGACUCGGAAGCUGAAGAAGCUUAAACCGAGAUAUAUGGGACCAUAUCCCAUUUUGGAGCGAAUUGGAGCAGUUGCUUACCGAUUGGAUUUAUCCGAAGAGUUAUCAGAUUUCCAUGACGUGUUUCAUGUUUCAGUUUUGAGGAAAGUCGUGAGAGAACCAGAGCUCAUUUUGCAGCAGCCGCCCAGUGACCUUGGUAGGAAUUUGCGUGCGCCGUGUCAGCCAGUAGAGCUAUUGGAUCGCCAAGUGAGAGCAGAUGAUGGUAUGAUGACUAUGUUGGUCAAAGUUCGUUGGGAGAGAGAUGGUAUUCAGGAGGAGACUUGGGAGUCCGAGCCCCAGAUGAGGAUUGAUUAUCCGGAGCUUUUCCGGGACAUUGGGCAUGUCAGCUUAUAAAUUGAAUUCGGGGACGAAUUCCUUGUAAGUGGGGGAGAAUUGUAAUGACC